CAAUAGCGUAUAUUAAAGUUGUUGCAGUUAAAAAGCUCGUAGUUGGAUUUCUGGUGGGAGCGAUCGGUCUGGCGCUUAGCGCGAGUACUUGCAUCGUCUCCGGCCAUCCUUGGGGAGAGUCUGUCUGGCAUUAGGUUGUCGAGCAGAGGAUCCUCAUCGUUUACUGUGAAAAAAUUAGAGUGUUCAAAGCAGGCUUAUGCCGUUGAAUAUAUUAGCAUGGAAUAAUAAGAUAGGACUUUGGUACUAUUUUGUUGGUUUGCGCACCAAAGUAAUGAUUAAUAGGGACAGUUGGGGGUAUUCGUAUUCCGUUGUCAGAGGUGAAAUUCUUGGAUUUACGGAAGACGAACUACUGCGAAAGCAUUUACCAAGGAUGUUUUCAUUAA
rnacentral:rRNA from 1 species